AGAGAAGAAUUAUCUCAGAGGAACGGAAUUAACUUCUGAUUAAGGCAUAAUUAAUAAUGUCGCCAAAACCUGUUGGUUUUACCUGCAGAGGUGUGUGAAACUUCUGAGCAGCUGUUCUUGUACAUCUUGAAAUGCAGCAACUGUGUGAAGAUCUGCUGCUCCCUGUUUCAAAGGCCUAACCAAGAGUGUUCUGAGGAUCCUGGUGAAUAAAUAAGACUUCUUGAAGAGUGUGACCCUCCUUGUGGUUGCUGGGGCACCCCAUUAGCCAACAGCCCCACCCUGUGUCAGCAAAGUCCUCAGCAAAGCUGGAGAGUUUAGAAAUCAUGGAGCACAUUUUUGAAG
rnacentral:lncRNA from 1 species